GACGUAGGGCGCGAGGCGUUGUCCGGAAUUAUUGGGCGUAAAGAGCUCGUAGGCGGUGUGUCGCGUCGGCCGUGAAAACCUGCAGCUUAACUGUGGGCGUGCGGUCGAUACGGGCAUCACUGGAGUUCGGCAGGGGAGACUGGAAUCCUGGUGUAGCGGUGAAAUGCGCAGAUAUCAGGAGGAACACCGGUGGCGAAGGCGGCU
rnacentral:rRNA from 1 species